rnacentral:lncRNA from 1 species
AGUUUCAGGAGGGAAGAGCUCGGCUGCACGUGGGCUCAGGUCGCCCCCUCGUGGACCUCUGCACAGCCAAGCGUGGAAAGGCCGGUGGGCCGCUUCCCGCCGCCAGCAAGAGGGGCAGCAGGGUCCGGCUCGCGCUCCAGGGCUGCGGGAGCUGGCCCCUUGCCAGGCUACUGCAGGACUGGAAAUACCUGUCUGCAUUGGCGAGCUCCCAAAUCUUGCCCAGGCGCCUCCCACCGUGUGCAGCUGAGGAAGGCUGUGCUCUGAGCGUGGGGUUGCCAAGUCAGCUCCCAAGGCAGCUCUGGCACCAACGACCCAGAGAAACAGGCCCAGAGGGGAGAAACGACAGAUAUCCUGACACGGGAGAUUGAAAGGGAGGAAUGAAAUACAAGAUCACUUACUGGACCCAUGCAGGGUGCCAGACCCUGGACUAGAUGCUUUAUAACUCUUGUGUAACCUUCACAGAAACCCUGCGAAGUAAGUAGAGCUCCCUUUGACUAAUGAGAAAACUGAGGCUCAGGGAGAUGAAGUAACUUGGCCCAAGCUUUCCCAACUAGGUUAUGGCAGAGCUGGAUUGAGACCCAACCCAAACUUCAUCAAACCUACUCCCUUGGAGGCUUCGCCCUCAGACACAAAGAUAUCUUGCAUAUCUUGCCCCUCAGAGAUUCCACCUCCUCAGCCUGGUGAUGCUGUAGGGAUGCUGGGUCGGCUUAAGCAACAUUGCCUGUCCAGGUCCUUCCCAUUCAGUUGGCUCCCUUGGAAGCCUUCCAUGAAAGCAACGUGCUGAUCUCAUCCCAAUCCGAAGUACUAAGACUCAAACUGAGUGCACCAGGCAUCAGACUCACAGAAUCACUGCUGCAGCAUCAUGAGAGAACCUCCAGGAUGGGCCUAAGCACUACUUGGCCCCAGAAUCCCUGGCACAUCAUUUCUCCAUGUAGUCAUCCAAGCCCCUAUCUCAUUACAUCCUGGGCCAGGAAGCUCAGCACUACUGUUGUACCCAUUCCAUCCUUAGUAAGCUCUGCCUGCUGGACAGUUCUUCCAGGUGUAAAGGUUUUAGUGCUUUUGGGUGACUGAGAUGGAAGGGAAGAGGCAGGAGCAGUGGGCCAGUCUCUCCCACCAUCCCUCCUGCAAAUAGUCCCAAAGUAGCAGCUUUUCAACAAUGCAUUUCAACAUAAUACCCUGAUCUAUUGAUAAGACUAUAAUGGAAACAUGUUAAUGAAUGCAGCAUGGAAGCAAGGCUAGAAGAAAUGGUAAAAGAGUGAAGCGGGUUUUUUGUUUGUUUGUUUUUUUGUUUUGACAGAGUCUCACUCUAUCGCCCAGGCUGGAGUGCAGUGGUGCAAUCUCGGCUCACUGCAACCUCCACCUCCCGGGUUCAAGCGAUUCUCCUGCUUCAGCCUCCCAAGCAGCUGUGAUUACAGGCGGCCACCACCAUGCCUGGCUAAUUUUUGUAUUUUUAGUAGAGAUGGGGUUUCACCAUCUUGACCAGGCUGGUCUUGAACUCCUGACCUCAUGAUCCACCCACCUCGGCCUCCCAAAAUGCUGGGAUUACAGGUGUGAGCCACUGCCCCCGGCCGAGCCAAGUGUUUUUUAGUCUUUGGAUCUUUACCAAUCAUUGGGAAGGAUCUCCCUCCCCGCUGUUAGAAUUGGCCACACCUUUGAUCUAAACUGCUGUCUCCAGUGGUUUCUUGAGGAUAAACUAAUCUCAUUUAGACAUUAAAAUAACUUUCUGUUAAAUGACAUUUAAAAUGGUUUUCAAUUUUUAAAAGUUUAUGAUAUGGCCUUUUUUUUCUGGAAACUUAUUUUGUGACUUUUAUUGUUAUUGCCAUUUUUUG